AUUGAACGCUGGCGGCAGGCUUAACACAUGCAAGUCGAGCGGGGAAAGGUAGCUUGCUACCUGACCUAGCGGCGGACGGGUGAGUAAUGCUUAGGAAUCUGCCUAUUAGUGGGGGACAACAUUCCGAAAGGAAUGCUAAUACCGCAUACGCCCUACGGGGGAAAGCAGGGGAUCUUCGGACCUUGCGCUAAUAGAUGAGCCUAAGUCAGAUUAGCUAGUUGGUGGGGUAAAGGCCUACCAAGGCGACGAUCUGUAGCGGGUCUGAGAGGAUGAUCCGCCACACUGGGACUGAGACACGGCCCAGAAUCCUACGGGAGGCAGCAGUGGGGAAUAUUGGACAAUGGGCGAAAGCCUGAUCCAGCCAUGCCGCGUGUGUGAAGAAGGCCUUUUGGUUGUAAAGCACUUUAAGCGAGGAGGAGGCUACUUAGAUUAAUACUCUAGGAUAGUGGACGUUACUCGCAGAAUAAGCACCGGCUAACUCUGUGCCAGCCGCCGCCGUAAUAC
rnacentral:rRNA from 1 species